rnacentral:rRNA from 1 species
UACGUAGGUGGCAAGCGUUAUCCGGAAUUAUUGGGCGUAAAGCGCGCGCAGGCGGUUUCUUAAGUCUGAUGUGAAAGCCCACGGCUCAACCGUGGAGGGUCAUUGGAAACUGGGGAACUUGAGUGCAGAAGAGAAAAGCGGAAUUCCACGUGUAGCGGAUGAAUGACGUAGAGAUGUGGAGGAACACCAGUGGCGAAGGCGGCUUUUUGGUCUGUAACUGACGCUGAGGCGCGAAAGCGUGGGGAGCAAACAGG